CCCAGGAACACAGCAGCUAGAUGCACCUCCCGGUGGCCACACACCUGCACCCUUAUGCCCAGUGUGAUGCGGACAUCUGGGAGCGUGCCUCCAAACACCACAGAAGCCUGGGAUCACUGUGCUCUCGACAAGGAAGUCCCCAGCUAGAGAGACCCUGCCACCCAGACCUGUGCAUCUGAUCCUGGCGGGGCUUACAGAUGCUUGAGGACCCAAGGCUGAGAGCCCCGCAGCAAUCCUGAUCCCAUCACUGCUGGUCACAAUGGAGUCCUGAGCCUCACGAGCCCCCUGCUCUGUACGGCCCCGAAAGGCUGUUUAUUAAUAAGACCCCUGGGUUCUCACCCCAGACUCAGUGAAUCAAAGUCUUCAGACCUGGAGCCCCAACUCUGUGUUUUUAAGGGUCCCCAGGAAAUUCUGAGGCACAGACUGGGGUGGGGACCACGGAGCCUGGUUAGCCCAUCAUGUCCAGAUAUGGAGAGGCCCCUGCAAGGUGUCUUGCUGAAGCCACACAGCUCUUAGCGACAGUUGUGGCUGGGCUCUUUCCUCCCCAAACAAGGUGAAAUCCCCAGGUAAGACCCUUCCUUGCAGUCAUGCUGGCACGAGGGUGCUGAUCCUUCCCGGUGCUCCUGGGGAACGCAGUUGACAUUUAUUUAGUAUUUGAGCUAGGCCCUUGGACGUUGCCCUUUUAACCACACCCCGGUGGAGGCACACAAUUAUGUAUAUAUUAAAAGUUUUUAAUCAUGCAAAAGGAGGACAGAAAGACACUCCUGAGACAGACUUUCCAUUUCUGGCUGCAUGAUCAAUUUCCUGUCACUGGAUGUGGUUCCCGGCUCACCUCCCUAAGGCUCAUACCAGGAGAAAGCUGGCGCUGACAAGCAUUCUCUGAAAAGGAGAGUUCGUUUCUUCUACUCUUGAGCCUCAAAGGAGCCAGCAUGCAGACAGGGACACUUGGGUGGCUCGGUGGUUGAGCAUCUGCCUUCGACUCAGGUCGUGAUCCCAGGGUCCUGGGAUCGAGUCCCGCAUUGGGCUCCCCAGAGGGAGCCUGCUUCUCCCUCUGCCUGUCUCUCUGCCUCUCUCUGUGCGUCUCUCAUGAAUAAAUAAAUAAAAUAUUUUUAAAAAAGGAGGAAUAAGGCAUAUGGAUAUCGAAUUGCCAUCUCUGUUAUAGAUAAAGCUGAUAUUGGAGAACAUGGCUUGUCCUGGAAGUGAGUAGGUC
rnacentral:lncRNA from 1 species